GUCCCUGUAGCGCAAUGGAUAGCGCGUUAGAUUUCUAAUCCAAAGGACGUGAGUUUGAACUCCACCUGGGAUA